rnacentral:lncRNA from 1 species
UGGUCAGUAUCGAUCUCGACUGUGAAGGAGAUAAACUGUGAUUUUUUGGGCUGAUCUGUGUGGUUCAAAUGCGAUCUAAUGGUCAGAAUCAAGGGAUACAGGUUUAACAUGAUUUUGAGAGCUUUUAAGACUCCAUUUGCUAUCAAAAAUAAAUAAAAAAUUCAUCUAUAAAUAAGGAGAUCCAGGAAUAAGAGAAAAAAUAGAGAAAAAUAA